UGAGUCGUAUUCAAUUAGAAUAAAUAGUCUCGUACCUGCAUUUACACGAUAUAAGUAAGUCGCACGUCUAUCAUCACGUGCAACCUAUUAUUCAAAACGGCAUCUAUUGUACUUAUAUUUUACUUAAUUUGCUUUGCCAUACUCAAUUCAGCAACUUAAUAUUAUUAUUUUAGACCCAAGAUUACCCUCGUGUAUAUAGACCCAAAUAAACUCUAUUCAACCUAGCUUUCCUUAUAUACACAUAUAAUUUUUUUUUUAACUUUCGAUUAUUUGACCGAUGGGGGAUGGCUCGACGCUUGGUUUAUACCACACAUGACCUUGAAACUCCAUAGUACUGGAGUCAGCUUGAGCUUCAAUGUUAUUUAAACGAACUGAAAAUUUAUUCAAUUCCGUUUUCAUUUGUUCUAAUGUUAUGUCUUCAAACUCUUGUUCGUCCAAUAUUCGGGAAUCAAACAUAUCGCUGCGGUAUUGAAACAAGGGAGAAAACUUAUUUUCCAGCUCUUUAUCUAGAAUUGACAAUUCAUCAAUAAUUAUCUUAGUGAAGGGAUCACUUCUUUGAAGACAUAUUUCUAAAACGGAAGCCAAAUCUGUUUGAGUCACAGAUAAAGUACUGGUCCAUGGCUGACCUGUAUACGCUUCACGCAUUAAAUAAGCAUACCAUUUUGCUAAAUAGCAACCAGCAGAUUCUUUAUCGGUUAAUUCUUCUUUCUCCUUGAGGUCUAGAAAUACCAAAGAAUCAACGGUUUGGCUAAUCUCUAAAAUUUCAGACCACAAGGUUGUAAAUAAUGCAGGUAAAAAGAAUGAAUGCUUCGAAGCUAUACUUUGUAACAGAGGCAGCCAUACAUUUUUAAGCUUUGGAAAAAAGCUGAUUGGCAUAGUUCUGGAGGGUAUUAAAACACGCUUUUCCAAGAAACAGCUGACGACAAUAUCUAGAUUUGUAGUCUCUAUUGCAAAAUCCAAAUCUUUUUCAUCAUCGACGAAAGAAGCUGGGAUAUAAGGUAACCUCAGAUUAGCUGUUGUUACCAACUCCUGUACUAAUGCUUCAAAUUGUUGAAUAUAGUCAUGUUCCUCUACUGGUAGAAACAUAUUUGCAGAAACAUUAACCUUUCUCCAGGAACGCCAUUGUUUCAAUAAGUCUUUGACUUUUCUUUUUAUUUCGAACUUAUGCAAUUCAUUAGUUUCGGUGUAGUCAUAUGUAUCUUCGGAUUCAGCUGUUGCAGCGGGAUUCCAGUAGUGAUCAUAAAGCCAUGAUAAUGCUCGUUGCGCAGCUUGUCUUAAAACAGGUAGAGAAGGAAGUUCUUCAUGAGUAAUGGCGUGUCUCAAUUCGACAAAAUAAGUAGGUAAAUCAAUUGAUUUGGCUAAAACAGCCAUUGGGAUGGCGUACUGCGAUUGCUGGAUAGGAUCCAACAAGCCACUUACAAAUCUAGAUAUUGAAACAGCUAAUGCUAGCUUUUGCGAUCGGUCAUUACUUAUUAAAGAUGAAACUAAUUGCGACGUUGAUUCCACUGAAUGGGGAAUACGACCUCGGGUUGACCAAGCCUGAAUAAUUUCAACACCUCUAAACAAAGCAGCUAAAUCAGGUAUUCCUUCUUGUCCUUCAUUAUAAAAGCAAGACAUUAAGUAAAGGAAAUCUUCCUUUAAUCUCCAUGGAACGACUUUCAUGUCCAUUUUUAAAAACUCAUGACAAGUGUUGGUAGUUGGCUAAGCGAUACUUUACUUAUAGACAUCACAUACGAGAGGAAAAUCCUGUAUUAGCUUUUACAGUAUAUUAU
rnacentral:lncRNA from 1 species